UACGUAGGGGGCAAGCGUUGUCCGGAUUUAUUGGGCGUAAAGAGCGUGUAGGCGGCUUUACAGGUCCGUUGUGAAAACUCGAGGCUCAACCUCGAGACGCCGGUGGAAACCGUAAGGCUAGAGUCCGGAAGAGGAGAGUGGAAUUCCUGGUGUAGCGGUGAAAUGCGUAGAUAUCAGGAGGAACACCGAUGGCGAAGGCAGCUUCCUGGUCCAAUUCUGACGCUGAGGUGCGAAAGCGUGGGGAGCGAACAGG
rnacentral:rRNA from 1 species